ACUUGUGAAUUCGGAUGGACUUUACGAGGCACACGCUGUUAUUUUUUUAGUGGUGGGACUCAACUCGGUUGGAAUGCAGCUCAGUCGUCUUGUCAAGAGAUGGGUGGUCGUCUGGCAGAAUUGGAAACCAUUGAAGAAAUAAAUGCUGUGAAGAAUGUUGCAUCAGUCCAAAAUAGAAGAUUUUGGAUUGGUGGACAGCGAUUUGGAGAAGGACAAUUCGAAUUCCAGUGGGCAUCAACCAACCAGGCAAUAACAGUUUCGGAUUGGGCAUCACCAACUCAACCAAACAAUCGAAGGGG